UGGGGAAUAUUGGACAAUGGGCGAAAGCCUGAUCCAGCCAUGCCGCGUGUGUGAAGAAGGUCGUGGAUUGGAAAGCACUUUGAGGUGGGGAGAAGGGCAGUAAGCGGAUAACUUGCUGGUUUGACGUUACCGACAGAAUAAGCACCGGCUAACUCUGUGCCAGCAGCCGCGGGAAUACCGAGGGUGCAAGCGUUAAUCGGAAUUACUGGGCGUAAAGCGAGCGUUGGUGGUUCGUUAAGUUGAAUGUGAAAGCCCCGGGCUCAACCUGGGAACUGCAUCCAAAACUGGCGAGCUAGAGUAGGGCAGAGGAUGGUGGAAUUUCCUGUGUAGCGGUGAAAUGCGUAGAUAUAGGAAGGAACACCAGUGGCGAAGGCGACCACCUGGGCUCAUACUGACACUGAGGUGCGAAAGCGUGGGGAGCAAACAGG
rnacentral:rRNA from 1 species